rnacentral:rRNA from 1 species
AGAGCAUGUGAACUGAGACCAUGGGCGGCCAUACGGACGCCAAAAAGUGUCCCUGGCCGCCUACACCCACUAUACAUCCACAAACCCGUGUGCACUGUCUUGGAGAAAGGCUUCAGAGAAGUUUUUUGUGGCCUCUCUUGGGGUCUUUCUUCGCUACAAACUCGAAUGGUUAGUAUGAACGUGGAACUUGGUUGGACCGUCACUGGCCAACAAACUAUACACAACUUUCGACAACGGAUCUCUUGGUUCUCCCAUCGAUGAAGAACGCAGCGAAACGCGAUAGGUAAUGUGAAUUGCAGAAUUCCGUGAAUCAUCGAAUCUUUGAACGCACCUUGCGCUCUAUGGCAAUCCGUAGAGCAUGCCUGUUUGAGUGCCAUGAAAUCUCCCACCCCAAGCGGUUUUUACAUGAAACGGCUUGGCGGAUGGGGUCUGGAUGGGUGCCUCUGCCUGCGCUACCUAGCACAGGCUCGCCCGAAAUGCAUGAGCGCCUUGAGACACUUUGCAUCCGCCUCUCUGUUUGGGAGGAGGCGGCCAAGCAGUGUUUUUCUCCUGGCAUGGCAUGAUACGUCAUUUGCUAUGUCGCCUAAAGGAGGAAUGUUUGGUUGUGUCUGCGUGUGCUUCGAACUUGCCUCUGUGGCACAUCCCAAUUUCACUUCUGGUCUCAAAUCAGGUAGGAUCACCCGCUGAACUUAAGCAUAUCAAUAAGCGGAGGAAAAGAAACUAACAGGAUUCCCCUAGUAACGGCGAGCGAAGCUGGAAGAGCUCAAAUUUGAAAGCUGGCGUCUUCGGCGUCCGCGUUGUAAUCUCGAGACGUGUUUUCCGUGCGGCUCUAUGGACAAGUCCCUUGGAACAGGGUAUCGUAGAGGGUGAAAAUCCCGUACUUGCCAUGGAAAUACCGUGCUUUGUGAUACACGCUCCAAGAGUCGAGUAGAUUGAGAUAGCUGCUCCAAGUGGGUGGUAAACUCCAUCUAAGCUAAUAACGGGGAGAGACCCAUAGCGAACAAGUACGUGGAGGAAAGAGACAACCCCUUCGUAAAGAGAGUUAAAAUACGUAAAUGUGCCAAAGGGAACCAUUGGAGUCUGCAUUCUGCUGAGAACUCAACCUGGCUUUUGCUUGGGGUAUUUUCCGGACACAG